rnacentral:lncRNA from 1 species
CUUCCAUUUGUCAUCAUCAAAUCAUCGAGGGGCCCACAGAUAUCGCUUUUAUCCCGAAGGUAAAAGGAAUGGAUAAACUUCGACUCAUAUGGCUUGUUCUACUACUUGUUGAAUCAUACACAAAGGCACGUUUUAUAGCACCGAGUUACCAAAUGCGUUUUCGUGCAAUCAAUGUACAACCAACUCAUAGUAACAACUCAUAUCUCUAGGUUUGAAGAAUAUAAGAUAUUAUCGUCUCAUGAUCACUCGUGAUAAAAUCCAUGAAGUGAUUCCAAUGAGCGCGGGUUGAAUCCAAUACUCAGAACUUAUGAGCACUCAUGAGUGUUGUAGCCCUUUGUCCAACACCUUAGACCUCUACAAGCCAACCCAUGACAGUCUUAAUUCAUAUCUACUUCCAACAUAUGACCGACUGUGGAUGGUUUGAAUAACUUAGUCAUUCUGGAAGAAUAACCUAGCUUAUUUUGGAAGUCAAAACAUGCAAAGUGUAACACAAGAAUAAUUGAAUCUAAUAUGGUAUCAAACCCUAUGAAUAUAAAUAAACACUUUUAUUUAUUAGCAUACUGAUUACUCAUUAUUCAUUGUUUCAGUUUUAUCAACUUUAUACUUGAAUUAAAAACACUAGUUGUCCCAUGCUCCAAGCAUGUACACUAUGUUUUUCUUAAACAAUAGCUUUGUCAUACACCAAGUAUGCACUCUAUGUUUGUCUAUGAUCCUUACUUUGUGAACUCGAUCGAUUGAACAUAACUCCAAUGAUUCUCAUUUCACAGUCCCAAUUCCUUACUGCAAAUGCAAGAAUUCCAAAUUCAUGCCAUUUACAGAAAUCUGUUAGAUUCUAAACUUAUAUGCAUUGAUCCUCUUGUAACGAUUAUGCACAAAGUCACAAAGACUUGGCAACAAUCAUUACAGAGUAUUCCAAAGGAGAUCAACUCCUUGGAAAUAUCCUUCUUGCAUUAAGUUUCCUUAAUCUUACACAGAUUGAAAAUUCUAACUUUGAAACAUUUCCAGAUUCCAUUUUGACUAUCACUUCUGAACAAGAGUUGCCUCCUUACAGAUUAUGUCAAUAUGGUCCUUCCAGAAUUAUCACUAUACUUCCAAUUGUCCUUGAGCAACCAAUCUUUGGUAAACCUUAGAUUGUCCUCGACAAUUGUUUAAUCCUUUUAGUCAUAUCCAGUUCUAAACCUUUUCCCUUCUUAAUGCCCCAGGCAUUUGGAAAAUUUUAGAACGGAUGAAUAUAGCACAUGUAAUCGAUCCUAUAUCCGAAGCAUAUGGGACACGAUUCAUGAUGUCUUACAUAAAGACUAAACCAGUCUUUUGCUAUAAUAUUUCCAUUUCAAUUUGCCAAGUUCUCAUAAUUCAGAUUAUGAAAAGGGAUGCCGUAAUCAUAAUCGAAUUUUAGAACGCAAAUAAUGGACCCAUAUACAGAAUUUCCUUAUGUUGAGCCAUUCCAACAUGAAAUUCAUAUAUAUCCUUGACUAAAUGAUUAAAACCUCACGAUCUAAGCUUAUAGAUUUGAGAUGAAGCAUAAUUUCCUCUCCCUUAAUUAUAGCAAAACAACUUUUUCCCAAUUGAAACUUUUGUUUUCUAUAAUUAACAUUGCUAACUUGCAAUACUUAUCAUAAUUAUCAUGCUCCCACUAACAUGAUGAUUAUUAGCAUAACACUUAUGCUCCCACUAGCUUUGACAUGUACUUAGAAAUCAGCUGACUUUCUUACCAAAGUUCAGAUUUCUUAUACUAGAUUGUUUUGAUAAAACUUUAUCAAAAUCAUACACCUUAUCUUCGAUAGCUCACAAGUGUGUCUAAACAAUUUUAAGAACUAUGAAAAGAGAUGUCGUAAUGAUAGUCUCAAUUGUUUAGACCUUUGCCACUUCUCACAAGUCCAUGUUAGUGUGCCGGUAAACCACACACGCUCCACAAUGACUUUGAGAAUGCAAAUAUCACAAUUGCUAUCUAGCUAAAAUUUACUUAGUGAAAGUUUUUCCUCACCAUCAUUUUCAUGAAUUGGAGAGAAACCUUAGACACUUAGAUUUUUAUGGUGUAUGAGUUCCUACCCAUAUGAAUUUGUCAAAACCAUAAUCACAAGACAAGGAUAAUGACAAAUCCAAACUCAUAUGGAUUGAACUCAAUCUUAAUUUCUUGCCACGUGGCAUCUCAAGGGCCUGCCAUUGCUUCCAAGUUGUUGUGCAACCAAUUGAGAACUCUAAGAACUCAUAUGUGUCCCACCCCAAAACCGAUAACGGCGGAAUACGUUUCGGGGUGGAGGACGUCAUGUACAGUAUCAUCACAAUUGCAUAAUAGUAAAAACAAGAAACAUGCAACCAUUUCAUUUCAUAGUAAGUUUAAUUACAAGUGUGUUCUGCAAAGUUCAACAAACACCAAAAGUAAUACAAAAAUAAGAGAUGGAUCUUGUAUGCUCCACCUUCUCCAAAAUGCUGCACCUGUACCUGUCUAUCUUUGACUUGAGGAUACAAGUGAUUUUGAAAACGAGUAUCAGCAUACAGCUGGUGAGUUCAUAAGAGUUUAGUGUGAGUUUUUCUAUAAAAUGCAUUAGAACAUAUAGUGUGAAAAGCUGCAAUUUACAUUAAUAAGUAGUAGUAAACCCUAGAAAAUCCUAUAUUUUCCAGAAAUUACUUCGUAAAUGAAAACCCUUAAGUUGUAUGAAAUUUUCAUCAGUGAAAACCAUUUGUUGUAAAAGUACAUUAGUGAAUCUCCAAUAGGUAGUGUAAUAGGAAAAGUUAUGCCUGUUACAGUAAUAGUGGUGCAGGCUCCCAUUAGUAAUAGAUACUUAUUUACUUUAGGAUAUUAACUUAUACUUUAGUUUUAGUAUUUUAGUGUGGAGUUAGUGUAUUCCUUGUAUGCUUCUGAUAGUGUGAGUAAUAGAGAACCCCAUGACCUUCCCGGUCAUGCACAGUGUAGUGAAGUAGCAUCAUCCCUGGGCUUGCAUAGCUCGGACUGAAUUUAACAUUCAGGAUGUAAUAGUGUCUGCCCAGUAUAGAUCUAUACAUGUAGCGUCGUCCUCCUAUCGGAAAACCCUGGGCAUAGUAUGUAGCGAGUAGAGUAUCUUGUAGUGAAUUAGUUUGUAUCUUCCUGAUUAGUGCUUCCUCUUGUAUUAUAGUGUAGUAGUCUUUUAUAUAGUUCAUAGUGUGUUCUAUCAUUCAUGUAUAGUCUCGUAAUAGUGUGUAAUAUAGUAUGUAGACUAGCGACAAUAGCGAGUAGUAGUGGCCUUAACUAUACCUAUUAUAGUUAACUUAGUGUGUAUGGUUCUUGUCAAUUUAGUAGAUUAGGCAUCGAAUGGAAUGAAAAUACUCGUAUCCAACACCAAUAUACAUGAUAUAUAACUAAGAAAUCAACGACAGUCGGACGGAUAACAACUACCCUAAGCCCACAAUCAAACAAGAACAGGAAAUAAGGCGAGCUAUCGGUCCUAAGUCCUUCAAGUCUUACUUAUAUAAAUAUAUUAGUGUGGUUACAUUUUAUAAGAAAAUUUAUUUAAUAAAAAUUUUGUCCAAAAAGAACAUUUAGAAAAUUGUUUAUUUAUCCAAAAUAGUUUUGAAAACGCAAAGUUCUUUUAUAAGGCAUAUUGGUAAAUCACAUGUGAUUUGAACUACGGAUAGUGAAUCACAUGUGAUUUAUUUUCAUAAACAUAUAUGUUUGACUUGUAUCCCCCCCCCCCUAAAACAUAUAAAAACAUUUGAAAGGUUCAUUAAAGGGGUAUGAACUCACCUGAAAGCGAGUAAAUCGGGUAAAUCGGGUGAAAGUGUCGGUUGAGCGUUUGGUACCAAAUAAGGACUUGUACACCUUUUAAGACCCUAAUAACAUAUGAAAUAUGUGUUUUACAAGAACUUAAUCAUUUUAUGCUUUUUAUUAAAACAUUUAGGUAUUCUAGCAUUGUUUCGGGGUCUUAGGGCUUAAAAGUGGUUCUCGGGGAUCGUACAAGGCCAAAAAGGGGUUACGGGGGAGUCGAAGAGUUUACUCCCUUGGAGUUUACGGCCCAGAGGCCACUCCUUGGGAGAUUACGGCCGUAAGCCCCUAGGCUUGGCCGUGAACUCUUGUUCACUCCCAAAAAUGGAUGCUAAGGCCCUUAAAUCAAUCCCAUAUAAUUUCUAGUGAAGGUCUAGGGCAAUUUUGGGGGCUUAAACCUCCAUUUGGUGUUGUUUGGGGGAGUUUACGGUCCUAGCUUAUGCUUGGGCUGUAAACUCUAUAUUAUCCCUCAAAAUGUGUUGUUUAAUGGCCCUAAGCAUUUCCUAAAAUCAUAUCUUAAUUCUAACAUGCCUUGGGUGAGUUUUUGGGACAAUUUGACAUGGAAAAAGGGUGUUUACGGCCUAAGCACAUGCUUGGGCCGUAAACCCUCUUUUAUGCUCUAAAAAUUUGUGAUUUGAUGUCCAAAACCUCUUAGGUAAUUUCCGUAAUUAGUAUACAAGCCUAAAGGAAGGAAAAAUGGGACUUUGGCUAUGUUUUGGGGUGUUUACUGUCACACCCCAAAACCGGAACGGCGGAAACGUUCUGGGGUGGAUGACGUCAUGUCAAGUAUCACAACACAUGCAUUAUAGUAAUCAAAGUACAACAACCAUUGCAUUAAUAGUAAUAGUUUUACAUAGUUUACAUUACAAUAUAUCAAGGUAAUACAAGUAAAUAUAAUAAGUACAGCAUGGUACUAAGCUAUCUUCAUCAACUGCUCCGGGGAUGUACCUGUCUAAUGCUGACCUGAGAAUACAAGUUAUUUGAAAAGCGAGUGUCAGCAUUUUUACAAAUGUUGGUGAGUUCAUAAGUAUUUACUGGCAUUUUAUUCAAAUAACAUUAAUAAAAGUGGUAGUUUUCAAGUAUACAGUGAAAUAGAGUCCUUUCCAGAAAAUCCUAUAUUUUCUAUUUAAAAAGCAGUCUUCUACCAAGACUGGUCAAAGUUAUGUGGUAAAAAGGUAGUUUUCCCUUAGUCGCUAUCAUUAUCAAAAUACAUAAUUUGAUUGUUGAAGAAAGCAAGAGAAAUCAGGGAAAUAAAAUAUGCCUCAGCAGUGAGGACUGCUGACUAAUGCAAAGGAAUCAUAGACUCCAGGAGAGUAUCGAAUGAACGACACGCCUGGCUCAGUCUAACAAAAGGAGACACAGACCCCAGACGGUACCAAAUGAAAGGUACAUCUAGUAGGGUCUAAAACAAAGAAUACAGACCACAGACAGUAUCAAAUGAAAGAUACAACUUGCAAGGUCUAAAAUAGAGAAUACAGACUGCAGACAGUAACAAAUGAAAGAUACAGCUAGCAAGGUCUAGAAACAGAGAAUACAGACCGCAGACAGUAUCAAAUGAAAGAUACAGCUAGCAAGGUCUAGAAACGGUGUGACUCUGAGAAUGGGUUUCCAGCAUACAGUGUAAGUUGCUGGUGAAAUACCGUUACCUUAAGGCCAUAAAUUCUAAGGCAACCUGGGAUACUCGUAACCAUACUAACCGAUACUAGAGUAUCUGACGCCCUACAAGCGUCUAUAAAAUAUGACAUUUGUCACCCCUUGGCUUGGUGGGCCAUGGACUGUAGCUAGCAGUCAGGGUGCGAGGGUGUCAAUCCCGUAUAGAUCUAUACACACAAUGUCCGCUCUCCCUACAGGAGACUCUGGUUACCAACUAGACGACGGAGAAGGCCGUGUCCCGAAGAUGCAUCCCAAAUAGUGGGUAGUGGGUUUCCAAUAUAAGUGUUGAACUAGAGGUAGAGACUCAUAACUGAACUGACUAGAGUAAACCUAUAUGUCUAUGCUCGUAUACAUAAUAUAUAACUAAUGAAUCAAACGACCUUCGGACGGACAUCCGAUCCCACCAGACCACAUCUCAACGAAGAAAAGGAAAUAGGGCGGACAAACCUUCCUAAGUCCUUCAAUCAUUAUUUAUAUGCAUCUAUACAAGCACAGACAUACAUCUAACUACGCUUGAGUGUGUAUCAAGUGGAAUCAUAUCGUGAAGUAUAAGUGUACAGUGUGGAAUAACCGACUUGUGAAGUAUAAGCGUACAGUGAAAUAUCCGAGUCGUGAAGUAUAAGCGUACAGUGGAAUAUCCGAGUCGUGAAGUAUAAGCGUACAGUGGAAUAUCCGAGUCGUGAAGUAUAAGCGUACAGUGUGGGAUAAUCGAAUCGUGAAGUAUAAGUGUACCAAGUAUAAGUGUAUCACGAAGUGGAAACGACAACUGGUGAAGUAAAAGCGUCUAUCAAGUAUAAGUGGCUACAAGUAUAAGCGAUAUAGAGACAAUAACCGGUAUAAGCGUAUCACGAAGGAAAUGCGUUAUCAAGUAGGAGUUUUAAAUAAGUAAAAGCGAAGCAGCAGUAACUAACAAGUAAAAGUAUACGUCGUGAAAGGGAACUUUGAUGAAAACCUUGGAAAAACCUUUAUACUCCGGGAAAAUCACAUUUGGUAUUCUUUGGUAAAAUAAGUUUGAAAAACUUUAUAAAUCCUUGGAACCUUUAUAAACCAGUUUAAAAUGAAUUUAGAUAAAACAGUAUAAGUAAGAGUUUUGAAACAAAUGAAAACCUUUUUGAAACCAUCAUAGUAUCCUACUCGGUAAAACAGUGUACAGUGUGGUAAAAUCUUGUGCAUGCGGGUUAUCAAUCACAUAUGAUUGACAUGAUAACUGGCAUGUUUAACUUGUAUUCCCCCCUAUAAAACAUGUAAAAACAUUUAAAAGGUUCAUUCAGGGGUAUGAACUCACCUGGUGUAAGUGGAUCCGACGAAGGUGCCGGUUGGGUGCUCGGUGUCAAGUAAAGACUUGGACACACUUAGUGACCUAUUUAACAUAUGAUAACAUAUGUUCACAUACAAUUAGUACAUUUAAUACUAAUUAAACAAAUAUAUGCACUCUAAAGAGCGGAAAACUCUUUGGUUGUGUGUUUGGGGUGUCCCGGGUAACAUUUAAGUGCUCAAAUGGCUUAGGAAUGGAGUUUACUCUCCAACAGUAAACUCUAUACACUUAGUUUACAGCCCUGGGACAAAUCCCAUGAGUUUAAGGCCGUAAACUCAUGGUGAGAGUGUUCUAGGAUGCUAAAAUGUCUCAAAUCAUUUGUGGAAUUAUGCUAGGUCCAAUUCCAAAAGGUAUGAAUGGAUUUAAGGGGUUUAAAGGGACCAAAUGGGAGUUUACGGCCCCAACCAUGGGAUUUUACGGCCGUAAGCUCCCAAAGACCUCUUCCUUGGAUGUUUUAAGUGCUUAAGUGAUAGAGAAUAAAUCCUAUGUAUUUUUCCAAGUCAAAUGAGGAGUUUAGGGCACCAUUUAACCCCUUUAUAGGAGUUUACGGCCCAGGUACCCUUUCAUGAGGGGUUUAUGACCAUGAACUCCCUAUGGAGUUGUUUUAAUUAAGUUUAAGGUCCCUAGCUCGUUGGUGGUUGAUUCUAGAAUUUAAUCCAAGGCCAUUGGUGUGUUUAAGGGCAUUUUUAACACACAAAUAUGAUUUUACUCCCCAUGAAGAGGAGUUUACGGCCCAAGCAUGUUCUUGGGCAGUAAACUCAUGUUUACUCUUCAAAAACUCGUUUCAAGGUGUUUUAAGUCCGAAUAUGCAAGCCUAAAAAACAUAUCUAAGCCUUAGGGGCAAUUUGGAGGGGUUUUGUUGCUUAAAAACCCCAAUAAAUGGUGUUCACGGCCCAAGAGUGUUCUUGUGCCGUAAACACAUGAUUUUGUCCCUAUUUUAUGUUUUAAACUGAAAUUUGCAGGCUAGAUAAACUAUAUAACAAGUUAGGAUAGUUUACCUAAUCGUUUGGGGCUCGAAACAGACGAUUUUUGGCUCGGGAUAAAUUUGUAGAGAGAGAGUUUAGAGAGAGAGUAAAAAGAUGGAAAUGGAGUUUACUCUCCCUUAUAUAGGGGUUGGAGUUGGGGCUCAGUGGAAAUCUACCCGAUACUGCCGUUAAACGGGGCUUUUGGUCGCACCCGAUUUAGUGGUCGUAAUAAUAAAAACUAAGUUUUCUAAAUUACUAUGGAAAUGUAAUUUAAGUGUUUUCAUUUACUUUAUUACGACUAUCACGACAUAAGACAUAAAUAAAUAAAAAAUUUAUUUAUUUGACGACCUCUUAUUAACGGAACUUUUAUACAGUGGAAUAUUCCGUUAACGGUAACGGGGAAUGUAAUGGAAUAAACUUUGGGUUGUCACAUCAUCCCCUCGUUAGAGGGAAUUUCGUCCCGAAAUUCAGGUCUAGGCAAGGUAAUAGGUAUGAAUGACCGAGUAGAGGCAGGAGGGUAAUUCCUAUUCUGUUUGUCCUCGCAUUCCCAAGUGAACUUUGGUUUGUGUUUGUUAUUCCAACAAACCUUCACCUACGAGAUGCGGAUUUCCGUCUCGUGUAGUUAGCGAUUUCCGACUGGUGUAUCUACGAGGUUAGGGUUCUCACUGGUUUCUAUCUGGAUGAGUGGGACACGAAGAGUGACGUCGGGUAAGCACAUAUCAAGUCUAAGAAGUGGAUCCAUCGGGUGUGAAACUUGUGGAAUAUCCGAAAGUAGUAGUGGUCUGCGAGGGUUGGACCAAUCUCCGUAAAGGAUCUUGAGUGGUCCUAAGCUCUAGGAAGAGUAGAGAUUUUCAGUACCUAGAACAUAGUGUACUUCUAUGGCAAGAUCAUCACUGGUGUGAUUGCCAUUCCGAAGUUCCUAACGUUCUCUCCCAUACUGGUAGUGUAGUCCUUCAGGGUUGUUCUUAGAAAGCUCGGGUGGUCUUUGGUCUUGCGUUCUCCCGUCAAUUGGCUUUUAGAGGCUUUCUAGGUCAUCGAAUGGGUUGUGCGACUAUGGUUUUCUGUUUGCUGUAGAGUGGCUAUCUCAAUCUUGUGCAAAAUGAACCUACACUACUAAUUAUUGAGAUAUUUCCAACGGAAACCCUCAGGGUCGGGGAGAUAGGGUUUCACCAGACGAGUGUUGGACUAUUCCGAGAGGUGGUUCUACUAUUUCUGCGUGAGAUAGUAUUCGUGGAACACCCAAUAGUCCAAUGAAUCUCGCUAGACGUGCCCUAAUUUCUAAGGCGUUGGUUUAUUCUGGUACGGAAAGCGCAUGCUCCUGCAUAACCCCUCUACUAACACUAAGGCUGGUGUCAAGUCUAUAAUCUCUUCGGGAUCUGGUUCAUGAGGCUUAAUGCAACUACCUUCGCACUUUGAUCAAGUAUUCUUGGUUGUGGAGGUUAUCCUGUGGUUCUCGGCAUUCUAGUGUUUACUUCGGAGAAUGAAGUCUAUCGUCUACGGGGCAACGACGAUCUCCUCCAUACGAGAGGGUGGAGGGUUAUAGGCACUAUUUUUCUGUAACAGGGUGGACGAAGUGCCUGAGUAGUGCGAAUAUCUUCGACAACUACUCUUCCGAAGGUUCUGAGUUUUCUCGGUCUAGGUCAAAUCUAGUGAGUAUACGUUCCACUACUCGGAACUUCAAUCCCUUUACUAACUGAGGGUGUUAGCUACUAUGUGGGCUUAACCGGGAUGACAACAAAUUUCGGAUUCGUGGUCAUUAUAGUAGCUUAACCCGCAGUAGUUCUCUUGACUCCAGCUCCUAUUUUAUGGAAUAGGAUGAAGGGCUUUACUAUGAGGUUCGUGGUAGAGCUCAUACUCGGCUUAACCACUAAUACUUGGUAUAUGCAAGCCGUAUAUAAUUGAGGUCGGCAGGAUGUUCAGUUGUGCGACUCCACCCCAGACCCACAACCCAAUGAGGAACAGGGAGUAGGGAGGAAGCACACAUCUUAAAUCUUUCGGAUCUCAACUAUAUACCACCUUUAUGCAUAUACCUGGUUAUAGUGGUCAUUCCUAUGAGUUCUAUUCUCUGGGUUCACGAACCUAGUGGGCGAGGUGCGAAGGGUCUUUCUGGGGGAUCUACGAAGUGUGCUUCGGAUGGUUAUUGUCUUCUGGAGUAUCUUGCAGAGUCUUUUGCUUCAGAUUCCAUAUGACUAAGAGAGGUCGGUCAACAGCGCGCGGUACCCUUCUCUAGGGUACUUCGGAAGGUUUGAGAUAAGAGGGACGACUGACGGAUCGUAUUAGGUUUAAUCAUUUGUGUUAUGUUUAGGUUCGGAAGAACCUUUAUUUGCCGANUAUUUGCCGACGAGGCUACGGAGAAAGUUCUUUUUACACAACACUAAGGAUUUACACAUGGCUGAACGAAGUUAAACCAUAAUCGAUAGAGUCGUCGAAAUUGGCAUACCUCGCCAUGAUAUAUAAUGAAGAUCUAUAGAGUCAUGCGCCGAACAGGCACACAAGUUCUAGGCGUCUUGGGUUUCAUCCUGUGUAUCACUGCCGCGGGUACUUGGACCGAUAGAGUCGAUGCGGAACUAUAGAGAGUCCUAAGUGUUUCCGAGUAGAGUAUCUUUUCAUGAAUGGAUUCUCACGAGGCAUUUCUAUAGUUGCCUAACAUAUACUAGUCAUGUAUAAUUAAGGUGGGGAGGACUAUUGACUGAGCGACUCCGCCCUAAAUCCACAAGCAAACGAGGAACAGGAAAUGAGGCGGCAUUCACUCACUCUAGGUCUAUCCAUCUUAACUAUACAUGGCCGUAACGAAUACGUUUAGCCAUUAUAGUUUUACCUAAUGAAUUUUAAAUUUUAUAACAGUGCUACAAAUUUCGCCUUAAUGGGGAAGUAUUUACAUUUUGAAUUAGUCCUUUAAUGUUUUCAGUUUAGUUAUCUGAGAUCGUAAGACGUACCAAAAAUCUACCAGGUUCCUUGAUGCUUCUUCCUAAGCAGUAGAGUUAGACUCCUCCUGUGUCCUUGUCUUUCCCUUCGGUUGGGCAGUCCUUCUUGAAGUGUCCCAUUUCACCACAUAGGUGGAAAACUGUACGGGUCGCCACAUUGGUGGUUGAUGUAAUGAACUCAACCGGGGUUCUGCAGACGCAAGCAGUAUGCCCCAACAUGUGGCACCUAGCACAAUAGAGCUCCCGGCAGACACCAUGAUGACGGUAGCUGCACUUACUGCAGUGGGGGAGGUUUCCUAGGUAUGGUCUUCUUGAAGUCAGGAGGGAAGGAUUGACAGGGGUAUUGACUGCUUCAGCUCGUUGCCAUUCGGAAGGUCCUUGAGCCGAGGUACGUCCCUCCUCGAUCUUGAUCUUUCUCUUCAGUGGGUUUGAGUGAGGUUCUUGGGCGGCUCGGUAUGCAGAGGUUGGUUGCUGCUGUCCACUACUAGGAUUGGAACUUCUGAUGGGGCUCUUACUAACAAUGGUGUUGUUAGCAUUCAGGUGAGCCAUGACAGCUGCUACGGCUGCAGAGACUGCAGCUUGGAACGUAGCUUCAUCGAAUAAGAGAGUAGGUUUCUUGCUUGUGGACUGGUUACGCUUCUUUGGUGGCAUGUUUUCUCCUACACGGAAAGGAAUACAAGAUAAUGAGAGACGAUGGCUAACCCUGGACAUAUCUGUCCUGACUUUAUUAGGCAUAAAUUUUUCCCGUGCCUCGGGUACUGGUUGUCUGUGUGUCGACCUACAUCCCUAUGAUGUAGUCCUGGUAUUCAAGGUAGGAGUAUGAGUAUUGGAAUAGCCAUAAGAUGGGAGUCGUUCCUACUAAGUUACCUUUAUACUAGGAAAGGUUUCACUCUCCGGCCUGGAGAGAUUUGAGUACAGUUCGGAACGAAACCGCGGAAAUAGAGGCUUAUGAAGGCUUAUGGCUAAAUAUUCUCAAUAGAGGUGAGGGGUUCCGCUCUAAUCGUGUAAUUGGCAACGGGAAACGACGAUUUACCUAACACAUAGCAUGAGUAGUGUAAUCACUAACUCACUAUAUUGUAUUAUUUUAAGGGUGUAUUAGCAUGAUGAACACGAGGAAAAGACAAUUCUCGGGUUCCAUGUACUGGCUCCCUCUGUCUACCUCGUAGCUUUGACUGGAAUCGGCGUUGGUUUCCUUGGGGUAGUUACGUAGGGUUCUUCUCUUGUGAAGACAUAUUGAACUUCUACCCCGCCUCACUUCCGAAUCCGACUCCGGGUGUCAUCACUUCAUGAUGAAUGACUGGGAUUCUCGGAAGUUUAGGCGAAUUUCUCACCGAUGUCCCUAAAAAGAUAUAGGCACUUGGUGAAUUCAAUAGUCUCAACCCAGUUCAUUUAUUUCCGAACAGGAAGUCUUCUUAACGAACUUCUUCGGGGUCGGAAUUAGCUCUUUUGUCAAGCACUGAAGUGGAUAGGGUUUUCUACAGGGUUCGUGCGAGAAUGGAAAUGUCUAAAGAAUCCUAAGAGAUUAUUAACAUUUCACUGGAUGAUCCAUAUCGAGUCCUGCUACGAUUACACAGGGUAUACAAAUCAUAUAUAGCUUAGAUCCGAUAGGCCUUCGAAUAUGUGAUACUACCUUAUAUCCACUUCCAAAAAAGGAAAAGGAAGUAGAGCGAAACCACACAUUCUUAGCCUAUAGGAUCCUUAUUAUAUAUAACCUUGGGAGUACACCCUCUGUAGUUGUAGGUAUAUCAAUAAGGAUCUUUUUAGUUCUUCACACAAGGUUAGUUAUGGAUCCUAAAAUACCCCUAUGGUAUUUUAAUUUCUUGUUUGUUUCUUAUCUUCUGAAUAAAAUUCUGGGAUUAAUGUAAGUCUUUUGGUGUUCCAAAAUACUCCUAUAGUAUUUUUAAACUUUAUGUUUGGCUCUAGCAUUCCUAGUUGGUAAGUUUCAGACCUGUUGUACACCACUAUCACUCCCAAGCACACGUUCAUCGCAUCUCGAAUAAAUGUAGUUGAUCAGGUUACAUUUAUUCCAGCUUACGAUUACAUAACUGCCCAGGUUUGACGGUAAUGCUCAACAUCCGAAGACUUUUAUUAUUGUUCUUCUUGUGAUACUUGUGUUCGGGUGUUUAGAUUCUGGAUGUUCUUAUACUUUGGUAAAAUAUGGUUAUAUUUUAAAGUAUAAUUCUUGGUCAGAGUGUUUUAUCCCUUNAUGGCCCUAAGCAUUUCCUAAAAUCAUAUCUUAAUUCUAACAUGCCUUGGGAGAGUUUUUGGGACAAUUUGACAUGGAAAAAGGGUGUUUACGGCCUAAGCACAUGCUUGGGCCGUAAACCCUCUUUUAUGCUCUAAAAAUUUGUGAUUUGAUGUCCAAAACCUCUUAGGUAAUUUCCGUAAUUAGUAUACAAGCCUAAAGGAAGGAAAAAUGGGACUUUGGCUAUGUUUUGGGGUGUUUACUGUCACACCCCAAAACCGGAACGGCGGAAACGUUCUGGGGUGGAUGACGUCAUGUCAAGUAUCACAACACAUGCAUUAUAGUAAUCAAAGUACAACAACCAUUGCAUUAAUAGUAAUAGUUUUACAUAGUUUACAUUACAAUAUAUCAAGGUAAUACAAGUAAAUAUAAUAAGUACAGCAUGGUACUAAGCUAUCUUCAUCAACUGCUCCGGGGAUGUACCUGUCUAAUGCUGACCUGAGAAUACAAGUUAUUUGAAAAGCGAGUGUCAGCAUUUUUACAAAUGUUGGUGAGUUCAUAAGUAUUUACUGGCAUUUUAUUCAAAUAACAUUAAUAAAAGUGGUAGUUUUCAAGUAUACAGUGAAAUAGAGUCCUUUCCAGAAAAUCCUAUAUUUUCUAUUUAAAAAGCAGUCUUCUACCAAGACUGGUCAAAGUUAUGUGGUAAAAAGGUAGUUUUCCCUUAGUCGCUAUCAUUAUCAAAAUACAUAAUUUGAUUGUUGAAGAAAGCAAGAGAAAUCAGGGAAAUAAAAUAUGCCUCAGCAGUGAGGACUGCUGACUAAUGCAAAGGAAUCAUAGACUCCAGGAGAGUAUCGAAUGAACGACACGCCUGGCUCAGUCUAACAAAAGGAGACACAGACCCCAGACGGUACCAAAUGAAAGGUACAUCUAGUAGGGUCUAAAACAAAGAAUACAGACCACAGACAGUAUCAAAUGAAAGAUACAACUUGCAAGGUCUAAAAUAGAGAAUACAGACUGCAGACAGUAACAAAUGAAAGAUACAGCUAGCAAGGUCUAGAAACAGAGAAUACAGACCGCAGACAGUAUCAAAUGAAAGAUACAGCUAGCAAGGUCUAGAAACGGUGUGACUCUGAGAAUGGAUUUCCAGCAUACAGUGUAAGUUGUUGGUGAAAUACUGUUACCUUAAGGCCAUGAAUUAUAAUGGAAUUAAAUUUGGGUUGUCACAUCAUCCCCCUGUUAGGGGAAUUUCAUCCCGAAAUUCAGAAUUCAUAAAGAGAGUCAUUACAGAACUACUAAGCGAAGAGAUGAGGAUAUUUGAGUUUCAUUUGAUCCUUGUGCUCCCAAGUGAAUUCCGGUCCCCGCUUGGCGUUCCACCGAACCUUCACAAUUGGGAUGCGGCUUUUUUUUCGUUCGUUUUACUUCCCGAUCCAUAAUCUCCGCAGGCUCUUCCACGAAGUUGAGGCUCUCAUUGACCUCGAUCUCGUCGAGGGGAAUCACGAGAGUCUCGUCGGACAGGCAUUUCUUCAAGUUUGAGACGUGGAAGGUAGGAUGUAAGUUACUUAGCUCGUGGGGUAAGUUGAGUUUGUAGGCUACAGGACCGAUCCUAGCGAGAAUCUCAAAAGGCCCUAUGUACCUUGGGUUCAGAUUUACACGCUUUCCAAAGCGUAUCGUGCCCUUCCAGGGCGAGACCUUCAAAAGGACUCGGUCUCCCACCUGGAAUUCCACGGGUUUUCUNACUACGCUUAAGUGUGUAACGAGUGGAUUCAUAUCGUAAAGUAUAAGUGUACAGUGUGGAAUAACCGAAUCGUGAAGUAUAAGCGUGCCAAAUGUAAGUGUAUCACGAAGUAGAAGCGAUACCAAGUAUAAGUGAAGUAGAAGCGAUAUCAAGUAUAAGUGAAGUGGAAACGNAGGAACUCGUCCUUUUGCUAACUGAGUGACGCCCACCUCAGCCCAACACAGAGGGGAUCUGCACUUCCGGCCGUAGAGGGCUUCGAAUGGAGCUGCUUUGAUGCUCGUAUGAUAACUAUUGUUGUAGGAGAACCCCACAAGAGGUAGGUGUGUAUCCCAUGAUUUACCAAAGUCGAUCACACAAGCUCGCAACAUGUCUUCUAAUGUUUGGAUCGUCCUCUCACUUUGUCCGUCAGUCUAUGGAUGGUAGGUUGUACUCAUGUCCAGCCUCAUCCCUAGUGCUUUUUGUUGUGAUUGCCAAAAUCUCAAGGUAAAUCUACUAUCUCUAUCUGAGAUAAUAGAUACAGGGACGCCAUGCAGUCGUACUAUUUCCUUAAGGUAUGUCCUCGUGAGCUUCUCCAUCUUGUCCGUUUCCUUGAUGGGUAGGAAGUGUGCAGACUUGGUCAAUCUGUUGACGAUGACCCAAAUGGUAUCCAACCCACCCGUUGUCUUGGGCAGUUUGGUUAUCAAGUCCAUUGUAAUCCGCUCCCACUUCCAUUCCGGUAUCCCUGAUUAUUGGAGGAGUCCCGAUGGCUUUUGAUAUUCGACCUUGACCUUCGCGCAAGUAAGGCACUUACUCACGAAGGUAGCAAUCUCCGCUUUCAUGUUAGGCCACCAGUAUAGCUUUUUGAGAUCCAAAUACAUCUUAUCUGAACCUGGGUGGAUGGAGUAGCGAGUGUUGUGUGCUUCCUUCAUGACCAAGUCUCUGAAACCUCCGUGGCGUGGAGUCUAGAUUCGGUCCAUGAGGUAGUAGGCUCCAUCAUCCUUGACCUCCAAACUUUUAUCCAUUCCGCACAGGGAUUCUCCCGUCACAUUUUCAGGCUUUAAGGCUUCAUGCUGAGCCUCCUUGAUCUAUGCGGAUAGAUGCGAAUGGAUAGUCAUUAUUAGUGACUUGGUCCUUCGACCAGAAUACUCUUUCCUACUCAGGGCGUCUGCUACCACGUUGGCUUUCCCCAGAUGAUAUUGAAUUUCGCAGUCAUAAUCGUUGAGUAGUUCGACCCAUCGGCGUUGUCUCAUAUUGAGCUCUUUCUGGUUCAGUAUGUGUUGGAGGCUUUUAUUAUCAGUGUACACUACGCUCUUCGUUCCAUACAGGUAGUGUCUCCAUAUUUUUAGCGCGAAGACGACCGCUCCUAACUCGAGGUCGUGAGUAGUGUAGUUCACCUCAUGUGUCUUUAGCUGUCUUGAGGCAUAGGCGAUGACUUUACCUCGUUGCAUCAAGACACAACCGAGCCCCUGAUUUGAUGCAUCGCAGUUUACCACAAAAUCUUCUGUUCCUUCGGGAAGGGAUAAUACUGGUGCGGUGCAUUGGGCUCGCUUCAGAGUCUGGAAUGCCUUCUCCUGUUUCUCUUCCCAAUCGAAUGAUACACCCUUCUGUGUCAACAUGGUGAGAGGUUUCGCAAUCCGAGAGAAGUUUUGGAUGAAUCUGCGGUAGUGGCCAGCUAGGCCUAGAAAUUGACGAAUUUCUGUAGGCGUCUUUGGUGCUGACCAGUUCUCAAUAGCUUUAAUUUUAGAGGGAUCCACGUGGAUUCCGUCUUCAUUAACCACGUGUCCUAAGAAUUCAGCUCUUCAGAUCCAAAAUUCGCACUUAGAGAACUUCGCAUAUAACUUCUCUGACCGUAGGGUUUCCAGAACUCGUCGUAAAUGAUCUCUGUGUUCUUCCUCGCUUCGAGAGUAGACGAGUAUAUCGUCAAUAAAGACGAUGACGAACUGAUCUAGAUAUGGACGACACACCCUAUUCAUCAAGUCCAUGAAUACUGCGGGAGCGUUAGUCAGUCCAAAGGGCAUCACUACGAACUCGAAGUGCCUGUAUCGGGUUCGGAAAGCUGUUUUCGGAACAUCUUCCUCCAGUACCCGUAACUGGUGAUACCCGGACCUAAGAUCAAUCUUGGAGAAGUAACUCGCUCCUUGCAGUUGGUCGAAUAGGUCGUCGAUACGAGGGAGAGGAUAGCAAUUUUUGACCGUGAGUUUAUUGAGUUCCCUAUAAUCGAUGCACAUACGGAACGAUCCGUCCUUCUUCUUUACGAACAAGACCGGAGCUCCCCAAGGUGAGAAACUCGGUCUUAUAAAGCCCUUGCUGAGCAGCUCGUUAAGUUGACUAGAUAGUUCUUGCAUCUCGGCAGGCGCUAACCGAUAGGGAGACUUUGCUACGGGGGUAGCUCCUGGGACUAGGUCGAUUCUGAACUCAACCUGACGUUUGGGAGGUAGACCUGGAAGGUCCUCCGGAAAGAAAUCGGGAAAAUCGCAUACAACGGGGAUGUCCUUCGGAUCCUUCGCUUUCUGGAUAGUGUCGACAACGUGAGCAAGAAAGGCGCGAUAUUCCUUACACAAGUAUUUCUAAGCCUGGAUACCAGAGAUGAUGCGAAGGCUCGUACCGGGUUUAUCUCCAUAGAUCAACAGAGUUUCGUGGUUCGGAAGAUUUAGGCGAAUGGCUUUGUCGAAGCAUAGAAUAUUGGCACGAUGAAGACUCAACCAGUCCAUACCGACAAUGACAUCAAAACUCUUGAUAGAAACUGGUAUGAGAUCGAUUGGAAAUGAGUGAUCGUCUAACAUGAGGGUACAACCUAUGUAGAUUUCGUUAGAGCUUUCGGUCUUCCCAUUAGCCAUCUCUACGACAAAUGUUUCUUUUAGGGGUUGAAGGGAUUGUUUGAGUAAGUGUUUAAAGUUUUGGUUUACGAAGCUUCUUUCUGCACCACUAUCGAAUAAGACACAGGCAUAAGAGUUGUUGAGAAGAAAUGUACCCGUGACUACUGUGGGAUCCGCUACUGCCUCGUUGUGACCAAUAGCGAGUAGUCUUCCAGUUCCCCCAGCAUUCCCAGCCUUCAGACAGUUUUUCUUGAAAUGACCAGCUUCACCGCGGCCAUAACAAGUCUGGGUCACUCCCGAACCGGGAACUUGUGAGAUAGGUUUGGGAGUGGCCCUGCAAAAUCGGACAAUAUGGUCCUUCUGUCCGCAGUUGGAACACUGCAAUUCACGGCAGGGGCCAUUGUGGUGGAAAGGGCACUUGGGACACUUGGGCAGAUUCCCACUAUAAGCUUUUGGUGGUGCAUGAGCGACUGGAGUAGUGGCAACAUGGACUGCCACAAUUUGCUGGUCCUUAGAGGAGGUUUGAGUUUUGUUGCCUUUCUUCUUAUCCCAUCGCUUCCUCUUUCUGUCAGAUGAAUCGGGUGGUUCAAUGCUAGUUGUGGUUGCUGUUGCUGGUGUGGAAGAGACUUCAUGGUUGAUCAGACUCUAGGCCAAUUCCUUGGCGCUGUCGAAGGUGGUAGGGCGUGAGGCUAGAACAUUUCCUCGAUACGGGGGCAUUAGACCCCAGAUGUAUCGUUCAAUCUUUUUGCUUUCGGAUGGGAUCAUGUUGGAACACAUAGCCGCCAAGUCGCAGAACCUGGCCAUGUAAGCUGUUAUGUCAGUCCCUUUCAUCUUGAGGUUCCAGAGUUCCUCCUCAAGUUUCUGAACUUCGCCCCUAGGGCAGUACUCCCCUCUCAUGAGGGCUUUCAGAGUGUCCCAGCCCAUGGCAUUGGCUGUUACCAAGGAGAGUGCACUGACAUGGCCGUUCCACCAUGUCAAGGCUCUGUUGGUGAGGGUGGCAGUAGCGAACUUGAUUUUGCUCUCUUCGGGGCAAGAGCACAUUUCAAAUACAGCUUCGGUUCUUUCGAACCAUCGGGACAAUGCCAGAAUUCCUCUGGUACCAUCGAAGAAGGUAGGUUUGCAGUUCAUGAAGUCCUUAUAAGUGCAUCCCUGCACUCUUUGGUGGACUUCACCAAAUCUAGAGUUACCACCGCUCGCAUCACCGGAGUUCAUUUGAGCCAUGGCUGGUGUUACAAGCGCAGUCACCGUAGUUUGGAACAACACUGGAUCGAACUGCGGAAGAGGAGGUGGUGGAGGAGGGGUUUGAGUUGCUGGUCUUCCUCUGUUCGGACGCUUUCGUGGAGGCAUAUUUCACUGGAAGAUCAUAGAAAUGAUGCCAACAGUAAGAGUCUAUUGCGAAUAUGAAUAGAGUGUUUCAUGGAUUAAAUCAACAUAAUCCAAGGAUCAGAAUGAGGGUCAUAGUAAUAGAUUAGUUAACUGCCAAUUUAUGGGUAUUAAUGAUGUAAUACAAGUUUGUCAAAAGUGACCUAACAAUAGGUCUAACAUAAAAUCAUAAGGAAAAUGUUGGCAGUCUAGAGGCCUACUUAGAGUACUUUUAAGCUAGGAAUAUUUACAGACAAGUGAUCUACGAAACAUAGAGAGGUAACUAGACGUCUUCUACUGGCGACGGUUACUUGUUGGACGAACCCUCAGAUCUACUAGCUGACGCAUAACUUCCUGAAGGUGUCGUUCAUGAGUCCUUUGGCGUGCUCGGAGUUCCCUAACUUUGGCUCGGGAUGCAGCUAGCUGAUGCUGCAGAGCCUCGUUGGUCCUCCUUGCCCUGUCCAUGGCUUCUUCAAGUUGGCGGAUGCGAACAGUGUUGAGAUUCGAGUUGGCAUCCACUUCUACAACUCGACCAAUGGCUGCUUGACCCUGCUUGACAUUCCUGGUAAUCCUUCGGAUCAUGAUGGGCAGAACCCGAUCCGUUGAUCCUCCUUCGCUUAUAUUGUAGAAGUUUCGGUCUCCAUUGUAAGGUAAGGGCUGGCCCUGCUCCUUGCUCCAUCGGUGCAAUGAUAUGGCCCACAUAGGAGUGGGACCCUGAAAUGUCGGACGGGGGUUGGGGUUCGGAGCUUCAGGAGGUUGGUUUUUAACUUCUAGCUCGGAGUUGGAGCUAUCCGAGAAGCCUUCAGCAUGAUGAUCAUCCAAAGGGAUCGGGUGAUCAUCGUCUGACUCCUCAUCGAGCCAUCCUCCAUUGCCUUGGUUUGGAUAGUACAGAUCACCGGGAUGGUGGAAGCCAGCCAUGCUAUCUACACGAGAAAGGGGGAUAAAAAGGUUAAUAGACGUACUACUCUAAGGUACUUAUAAGAUGAAUCGUUAUUAGUCGACCCAAUACUUGCGUAGUGCAUACCAAUUACAUGCAACCGAAGCAAGAUAGUCCUUCGAAUAAGCAACCCUAACUCUAGAUCCCCAAUCAAACAAGAACCGGAAAUCAAGCAAAGGCUACAGAUUCUGAGUCUAUAGCGCCCUAGUCACAUGUAACCAUGGUGUAUCCACUUAGCAACUAUUGUCCUACCAGUAACAACCCUUUUAGUUAUCACAUAUGUAUGUUUUAGAGAUACGGAAUACCCCUAUAGUAUUCUUAUGGUAACGUUAUUGUGGUAGUGUUGGUAAGUUUUAGACUUGUUGCAACACCACAACCAAGCCUAGGCACAUGCUAGUCACUCCCAGGAAAACGUAGUUGAUCAGGCUACAUCCCCCAAAUGUGACUAUAUGCCUCUAAGCCCAAUUGUGCUGUCCAACAAUCUUAAUACUUUUGUUCUGUUCUAGUGUGAUACUGACUUCUGUGUUUUAUAGAGAUGUGUGUAUAUAUAUACUUAGUUAAAUCUUUUAAAUAAUUAACAAUAUAUAUUCUUGGUCAGAGUGUUUUAGUCCCGAAGUGUUUAUAGUUCGUAUAUCUUUUAUAGGUUGAUAUACUUGAUUCACUAUAAACAAUGCUCUGAUACCAAUCUGUCACACCCCAAAACCGAUAACGGCGGAAUAUGUUUCGGGGUGGAUGACGUCAUGUACAGUAUCAUCACAAUUGCAUAAUAGUAAAAACAAGAAACAUGCAACCAUUUCAUUUCAUAGUAAGUUUAAUUACAAGUGUGUUAUGCAAAGUUCAACAAACACCAAAAGUAAUACAAAAAGAAGAGAUGGAUCUUGUAUGCUCCACCUUCUCCAAAAUGCUGCACCUGUACCUGUCUAUCUUUGAGCUAAGGAUACAAGUGAUUUUGAAAACGAGUAUCAGCAUAAAGCUGGUGAGUUCAUAAGAGUUUAGUGUGAGUUUUUCUAUAAAAUACAUUAGAACAUAUAGUGUGAAAAGCUGCAAUUUACAUUAAUAAGUAGUAGUAAACCCUAGAAAAUCCUAUAUUUUCCAGAAAUUACUUCGUAAAUGAAAACCCUUAAGUUGUAUGAAAUUUUCAUCAGUGAAAACCAUUUGUUGUAAAAGUACAUUAGUGAAUCUCCAAUAGGUAGUGUAAUAGGAAAAGUUAUGCCUGUUACAGUAAUAGUGGUGCAGGCUCCCAUUAGUAAUAGAUACUUAUUUACUUUAGGAUAUUAACUUAUACUUUAGUUUUAGUAUUUUAGUGUGGAGUUAGUGUAUUCCUUGUAUGCUUCUGAUAGUGUGAGUAAUAGAGAACCCCAUGACCUUCCCGCUCAUGCACAGUGUAGUGAAGUAGCAUCAUCCCUGGGCUUGCAUAGCUCGGACUGAAUUUAACAUUCAGGAUGUAAUAGUGUCUGCCCAGUAUAGAUCUAUACAUGUAGCGUCGUCCUCCUAUCGGAAAACCCUGGGCAUAGUAUGUAGCGAGUAGAGUAUCUUGUAGUGAAUUAGUUUGUAUCUUCCUGAUUAGUGCUUCCUCUUGUAUUAUAGUGAAGUAGUCUUUUAUAUAGUUCGUAGUGUGUUCUAUCGUUCAUGUAUAGUCUCGUAAUAGUGUGUAUUAUAGUAUGUAGAGUAGCGACGGUAGCGAGUAGUAGUGGCCUUAACUAUACCUAUUAUAGUUAACUUAGUGUGUAUGGUUCUUGUCAAUUUAGUAGAUUAGGCAUCGAAUGGAAUGAAAAUACUCGUAUCCAACACCAAUAUACAUGAUAUAUAACUAAGAAAUCAACGACAGUCGGACGGAUAACAACUACCCUAAGCCCACAAUCAAACAAGAACAGGAAAUAAGGCGAGCUAUCGGUCCUAAGUCCUUCAAGUCUUACUUAUAUAAAUAUAUUAGUGUGGUUACAUUUUAUAAGAAAAUUUAUUUAAUAAAAUUUUUGUCCAAAAAGAACAUUUAGAAAAUUGUUUAUUUAUCCAAAAUAGUUUUGAAAACGCAAAGUUCUUUUAUAAGGCAUAUUGGUAAAUCACAUGUGAUUUGAACUACGGAUAGUGAAUCACAUGUGAUUUAUUUUCAUAAACAUAUAUGUUUGACUUGUAUCCCCCCCCCCCUAAAACAUAUAAAAACAUUUGAAAGGUUCAUUAAAGGGGUAUGAACUCACCUGAAAGCGAGUAAAUCGGGUAAAUCGGGUGAAAGUGUCGGUUGAGCGUUUGGUACCAAAUAAGGACUUGUACACCUUUUAAGACCCUAAUAACAUAUGAAAUAUGUGUUUUACAAGAAAUUAAUCAUUUUAUGCUUUUUAUUAAAACAUUUAGGUAUUCUAGCAUUGUUUCGGGGUCUUAGGGCUUAAAAGUGGUUCUCGGGGAUCGUACAAGGCCAAAAAGGGGUUACGGGGGAGUCGAAGAGUUUACUCCCUUGGAGUUUACGGCCCAGAGGCCACUCCUUGGGAGAUUACGGCCGUAAGCCCCUAGGCUUGGCCGUGAACUCUUGUUCACUCCCAAAAAUGGAUGCUAAGGCCCUUAAAUCAAUCCCAUAUAAUUUCUAGUGAAGGUCUAGGGCAAUUUUGGGGGCUUAAACCUCCAUUUGGUGUUGUUUGGGGGAGUUUACGGUCCUAGCUUAUGCUUGGGCUGUAAACUCUAUAUUAUCCCUCAAAAUGUGUUGUUUAAUGGCCCUAAGCAUUUCCUAAAAUCAUAUCUUAAUUCUAACAUGCCUUGGGUGAGUUUUUGGGACAAUUUGACAUGGAAAAAGGGUGUUUACGACCUAAGCACAUGCUUGGGCCGUAAACCCUCUUUUAUGCUCUAAAAAUUUGUGAUUUGAUGUCCAAAACCUCUUAGGUAAUUUCCGUAAUUAGUAUACAAGCCUAAAGGAAGGAAAAAUGGGACUUUGGCUAUGUUUUGGGGUGUUUACUGUCACACCCCAAAACCGGAACGGCGGAAACGUUCUGGGGUGGAUGACGUCAUGUCAAGUAUCACAACACAUGCAUUAUAGUAAUCAAAGUACAACAACCAUUGCAUUAAUAGUAAUAGUUUUACAUAGUUUACAUUACAAUAUAUCAAGGUAAUACAAGUAAAUAUAAUAAGUACAGCAUGGUACUAAGCUAUCUUCAUCAACUGCUCCGGGGAUGUACCUGUCUAAUGCUGACCUGAGAAUACAAGUUAUUUGAAAAGCGAGUGUCAGCAUUUUUACAAAUGUUGGUGAGUUCAUAAGUAUUUACUGGCAUUUUAUUCAAAUAACAUUAAUAAAAGUGGUAGUUUUCAAGUAUACAGUGAAAUAGAGUCCUUUCCAGAAAAUCCUAUAUUUUCUAUUUAAAAAGCAGUCUUCUACCAAGACUGGUCAAAGUUAUGUGGUAAAAAGGUAGUUUUCCCUUAGUCGCUAUCAUUAUCAAAAUACAUAAUUUGAUUGUUGAAGAAAGCAAGAGAAAUCAGGGAAAUAAAAUAUGCCUCAGCAGUGAGGACUGCUGACUAAUGCAAAGGAAUCAUAGACUCCAGGAGAGUAUCGAAUGAACGACACGCCUGGCUCAGUCUAACAAAAGGAGACACAGACCCCAGACGGUACCAAAUGAAAGGUACAUCUAGUAGGGUCUAAAACAAAGAAUACAGACCACAGACAGUAUCAAAUGAAAGAUACAACUUGCAAGGUCUAAAAUAGAGAAUACAGACUGCAGACAGUAACAAAUGAAAGAUACAGCUAGCAAGGUCUAGAAACAGAGAAUACAGACCGCAGACAGUAUCAAAUGAAAGAUACAGCUAGCAAGGUCUAGAAACGGUGUGACUCUGAGAAUGGAUUUCCAGCAUACAGUGUAAGUUGUUGGUGAAAUACUGUUACCUUAAGGCCAUGAAUUAUAAUGGAAUUAAAUUUGGGUUGUCACAUCAUCCCCCUGUUAGGGGAAUUUCAUCCCGAAAUUCAGAAUUCAUAAAGAGAGUCAUUACAGAACUACUAAGCGAAGAGAUGAGGAUAUUUGAGUUUCAUUUGAUCCUUGUGCUCCCAAGUGAAUUCCGGUCCCCGCUUGGCGUUCCACCGAACCUUCACAAUUGGGAUGCGGCUUUUUUUUCGUUCGUUUUACUUCCCGAUCCAUAAUCUCCGCAGGCUCUUCCACGAAGUUGAGGCUCUCAUUGACCUCGAUCUCGUCGAGGGGAAUCACGAGAGUCUCGUCGGACAGGCAUUUCUUCAAGUUUGAGACGUGGAAGGUAGGAUGUAAGUUACUUAGCUCGUGGGGUAAGUUGAGUUUGUAGGCUACAGGACCGAUCCUAGCGAGAAUCUCAAAAGGCCCUAUGUACCUUGGGUUCAGAUUUACACGCUUUCCAAAGCGUAUCGUGCCCUUCCAGGGCGAGACCUUCAAAAGGACUCGGUCUCCCACCUGGAAUUCCACGGGUUUUCUUCGUUUGUCUGCGUAGCUUUUCUGUCGAUCCCUAGCAGCUUUUAAUCGUUCGCGAAUCUGUACUAUCUUCUCGGUCAUUUCUCGAAUGAUCUCCGGACCAGUGAGAGUGCUGUCAGGAACUCGUCCUUUUGCUAACUGAGUGACGCCCACCUCAGCCCAACACAGAGGGGAUCUGCACUUCCGGCCGUAGAGGGCUUCGAAUGGAGCUGCUUUGAUGCUCGUAUGAUAACUAUUGUUGUAGGAGAACCCCACAAGAGGUAGGUGUGUAUCCCAUGAUUUACCAAAGUCGAUCACACAAGCUCGCAACAUGUCUUCUAAUGUUUGGAUCGUCCUCUCACUUUGUCCGUCAGUCUAUGGAUGGUAGGUUGUACUCAUGUCCAGCCUCAUCCCUAGUGCUUUUUGUUGUGAUUGCCAAAAUCUCAAGGUAAAUCUACUAUCUCUAUCUGAGAUAAUAGAUACAGGGACGCCAUGCAGUCGUACUAUUUCCUUAAGGUAUGUCCUCGUGAGCUUCUCCAUCUUGUCCGUUUCCUUGAUGGGUAGGAAGUGUGCAGACUUGGUCAAUCUGUUGACGAUGACCCAAAUGGUAUCCAACCCACCCGUUGUCUUGGGCAGUUUGGUUAUAAAGUCCAUUGUAAUCCGCUCCCACUUCCAUUCCGGUAUCCCUGAUUAUUGGAGGAGUCCCGAUGGCUUUUGAUAUUCGACCUUGACCUUCGCGCAAGUAAGGCACUUACUCACGAAGGUAGCAAUCUCCGCUUUCAUGUUAGGCCACCAGUAUAGCUUUUUGAGAUCCAAAUACAUCUUAUCUGAACCUGGGUGGAUGGAGUAGCGAGUGUUGUGUGCUUCCUUCAUGACCAAGUCUCUGAAACCUCCGUGGCGUGGAGUCUAGAUUCGGUCCAUGAGGUAGUAGGCUCCAUCAUCCUUGACCUCCAAACUUUUAUCCAUUCCGCACAGGGAUUCUCCCGUCACAUUUUCAGGCUUUAAGGCUUCAUGCUGAGCCUCCUUGAUCUAUGCGGAUAGAUGCGAAUGGAUAGUCAUUAUUAGUGACUUGGUCCUUCGACCAGAAUACUCUUUCCUACUCAGGGCGUCUGCUACCACGUUGGCUUUCCCCAGAUGAUAUUGAAUUUCGCAGUCAUAAUCGUUGAGUAGUUCGACCCAUCGGCGUUGUCUCAUAUUGAGCUCUUUCUGGUUCAGUAUGUGUUGGAGGCUUUUAUUAUCAGUGUACACUACGCUCUUCGUUCCAUACAGGUAGUGUCUCCAUAUUUUUAGCGCGAAGACGACCGCUCCUAACUCGAGGUCGUGAGUAGUGUAGUUCACCUCAUGUGUCUUUAGCUGUCUUGAGGCAUAGGCGAUGACUUUACCUCGUUGCAUCAAGACACAACCGAGCCCCUGAUUUGAUGCAUCGCAGUUUACCACAAAAUCUUCUGUUCCUUCGGGAAGGGAUAAUACUGGUGCGGUGCAUUGGGCUCGCUUCAGAGUCUGGAAUGCCUUCUCCUGUUUCUCUUCCCAAUCGAAUGAUACACCCUUCUGUGUCAACAUGGUGAGAGGUUUCGCAAUCCGAGAGAAGUUUUGGAUGAAUCUGCGGUAGUGGCCAGCUAGGCCUAGAAAUUGACGAAUUUCUGUAGGCGUCUUUGGUGCUGACCAGUUCUCAAUAGCUUUAAUUUUAGAGGGAUCCACGUGGAUUCCGUCUUCAUUAACCACGUGUCCUAAGAAUUCAGCUCUUCAGAUCCAAAAUUCGCACUUAGAGAACUUCGCAUAUAACUUCUCUGANNNNNNNNNNNNNNNNNNNNNNNNNNNNNNNNNNNNUGAAUGAGGCGUACUAGCGGUAAGACUGACUUUACUCUUAUUCAUAUAUAUAUAUAUUAUUAACUUAUAAUAUUAUAAAGUAUAAGGGUUGAAUUUUAACUUUUAAAAUUCUAAGGGCUAACUUGGAAUUAAAGUAUUCAUAAGUGAAAACUUUACAAAUUCCAAAACUUGAGGGCAAGUUUUGAAACUAUUCAAAACUAAUUAAUUCCAUAACUUAUGUGUUUAAAGUAGUUUUAAUCCAAAAACUCUUCAAGUUCCAUAACUUGAGGACAAGUUAUGGAAGACUUUAAACUAAUAAAAGAAUUAACUUUUCUUUAUUUUAUAACUUAUGGAAUUAAUUAAGGUUACAUAUUUUAUUACUUAAUGAAGUGACUCUUGAACUUCCAUAACUUGAGGACAAGUUAUGGAGUCAUAAAACCAUUCAAUGAGACAAGACUCUUCAUUUUUGUAACCAUUGCCAACUUUUAUGAGUUUUAUGAAACUUAAAUGUGACCUUUCAUGUAACUUGAGGACAAGUUACACAAACACAUUUUAGAAUCGUCUCUUAGAUUAAAAUGGAUUGAAAACAACUAUUCAAUUAACUUAUCUAUUAAUCUAACCAACUCAUAUGAACAAGAUAAUUCAACCAAACUUUUCCCAUGUAAUUAGCAUAACACUUAAACUAAUACAAAACAUGAAUCUAUUGAUAAUUAUCUUUGAAAUUGGAUUAGAAUGAACAUUACCACAACAAAAAUAAGUUUAUAAGUCUAAAAACAGCUUAGGGUAAUGUUCCUAGUCCAUUUCUAGCCAAAAAGUCGAAUAUAUGCUGUCUGGGGCUCCUGCUCGUCGAGUGCAUGAACCUACUCGGCGAGUAGGAUGAAUUUCUUCAUGGACUCGACUUUUUCAGCAUUUUUCUGCAAUUUACAUCAAGUAUAAUUGAAAACAAGCCUAGGCUCUGAUACCACUGUUGGGUUUUGAGCAUUCUAACACUUCUAUGGUGUACAUGAAACCCUAUAAACCUUGGAUCUAUGUUUUGUCUAUUAUACAUGCAAAUAAGAACUUUCCAAGGCUUAAAUCCUAACUAGCAUAUUAUGAAGCUCUUAUUCUACAAAGUACUAGUUAGAUGACGUACCUUUUGAUGUAACUUGAUGUCUUCAAGCUUUAAGAGCUUAGCCCCAAUAGUGUGGAUGCCUCAAAUGGAAUCACAAAUCACCAAAACACCUUGGCAGACUAUAGAGAAUAUGGAUACUUGGCUCUCUCUAGUGUUAAACCCAUGACCUUUAAUUUCAUAUGAUCCAUGGGUUAAACACUCCAUGGACUAUCCAUGAAAGCUUAGCCCAACCUAAAUGAACUUGGCCCGUUCCAUAUAUAUAAGAGUCCAUAUUUAAUUAGUUCAUUUUGAUCACUUAAUUAAUUCUAAAUUAAUUCUUGAUCUAUACUAAUUAAAUAAUAUGAUUCCAUAUUAAUAUAUUACAACUUAUAAUAUAUUAAUAUUAAUCAUAAAUAUAUUAUUCUCAAAAGAUUAUCCAUAUAAAUUGUGUCGGUGAAGUGCAACCCAAAUGGACCAUGCCGGGUCGGGUCAAGUACAUACCAAAUAUAGUUAUGGACUUAGACAUUAAUUCAACACUUAGACACCUUAUCUAACAAAGAGGAGGUUCACUUUAGAUACCGAAAGAUGUUCUUCACUGCCAGCAUGUAAGUUUCGCGUGGGUUGGCUUGAAAUCAAGCACAAUAGCAGACUGAGAACAUAAUGUCCGGCCUGUUGGCUGUAAGAUACAUCAGUGAUCCAAUCAUCUAACGAUAAAGCAUCAUGUCAGCUGCUGGUUUGUCCAAUAAUGGUGUCAGCUUGGUGCCAAACGCCAUAGGAACCUUAACCCUUGAAUCGCCUAACAUCCCAAACUUGGAAAGUAAUGUCCUUCUGUAUGCCUCCUGAUUGAUAAAAAUGCGUUCGGGUCCCUGUCUAAUAUUUAAGCCAAGGAGAAAGUUAAUUGGACCCAUUGAGCUCAUCUCAAAUUUAGUUUCCAUCAACUUUCUGAAUUCAACUGUUAGGCUGGGAUUCGUGGAGCCGAAAAUGAUGCCAUCAAUAUAAAUUUGGACUAUCAUAAGGUGGUUACCCACUCUUUUAUGAAAGAAGAUUGGGUCAACCGAACCUUGUUUAAAUUUGGAUAUUUUUAAGAAUCGAGUGAGGGUUUCACACCAUGCUCUGGGAGCCUGCUUCAGGCCACAUACUGCUUUGUCCAGAAUGUAACAGCGAACUGGGUGCUUUUCAUUCAUGAAGCUUGGUGGUUGCUCUACGUACACAGUUUCUUCAAGUUCUCCAUUGAGAAAGGCACACUUCACAUCCAUUUGGCAGACUUCAAAAUUCUUAUGUGCAGCAUACGCGAGAAAGAUUCGAAACGACUCAAAUCUUCCAACUGGAUUGAAGGUCUCUUUAUAAUCUAUACCUUCCUCUUGACAGUAUACUUUCACCACCAACCGGGCCUUGUUGCGAAUCACAUUCCCUUCCUUGUCCAUGUUAUUUCUGAAUACCCAUUUGAUACCGACAACCGAAGCAUCCUUCGGAGUUGGAAUUAGACGCCAUACUUUGUUUCUUUCAAACUCAUUCAACUCGUCUUGCAUGGGUUGAACCCCAUCAGAAUGAUCAAGGGCUGAAUUCACCGUCUUCGGUUCAACUUUGGAGACAAAAGAGUUGAACAUGCAAAAUUCUACUUGAGAGAAUAAUGCAACUUGCUUCGCUUUCAGCUGUGAUCGAGUUAAUACCUUUUUAGAAGAUUCCCCUAUGAUUUGACUUUGAGGAUGGUCUUUGGUCCAUUUAAUGAGAGGAGGGUAAUUUGGAUCACUAGAGGGAUCCAGUUCUGCAUUGAUUUCUUCUUCAAAGUAUGAUUGUGUAUCAUCAUCAUUAGCAUUCGUAUUCUCCCCCUCGAAUGAUGACACGAGUUCAAUUUAUGGAUCAGAAUGCUCCUCUUCAUUUGGACUUUCGGUUGAACUUGAUGACUAUGAUGAUGGAUUCUCCCCCUGAAAUGAUGAACCCUGAUUAUUUUGUAGAAACGAACCCCCUGGAUAGAAGGACAAUCACCAGACGGUUUGCUUGUGUAUUGCCUUUCAGUUGCCUUCGGUUGUUCAAUUGCCAUCUUCUAUGCAUCAUCGUCAAUAAUUUGCUUCAAACUAUCGAUUCAGUUAUCUUCAGCCUUGGAUUCAGAAUCAAUAGCCUUUUCUGGUUCAUCGAAGAGUAGCGUAUAUUGCUCGAAAAGAUUUGAAUAGGCAUAGUGACUUGACUAGACUUUGGAAAGAUUUCCUGCAUUGCACCUUCAGUUGUCUUCAACUUCUUGACAUAACAGUAAUCAAAAGUAACAUAGUAUGUUUCUUCAAUCUUCUUGGAGUGUUUAUUCAGAACUCUAUACGUCUUAGAGUGCAAGGAGUAGCCCAGAAAGAUCCCUUCAUCAGCCUUAACGUUAAACUUGUUUCGAUUCUCCUUUGAGUUGAAAACGAAGCAUCUUGAAUCGAACACGUGAAAGAACUUCACAUUUGGCUUGCGGUUGUUCAAGAUCUUUUAAGGAGUGAUUGAGAAGCACUUGUUUAAAUAAGAUCUAUUCUGAAUGUAACAAGCAGCAGCAAUAGCAUCAGCCCAGAAAUAUAAAGGCAAGGAAGCGAAGCUCAGCAUAGUUCGAGCCGCUUUGCAUAGAGACCGAUUUCGCCUUUCUACGAUUCCAUUCUGCUGAGUAUAUGGAGCGGAAAAUUUGUGAGUUGUUCCCUUCUCAGCUAGAAAAUCUUCGAAAUCCUUGUUCUUGAAUUCCAAGCCAUUGUCGCUUCUCACGUUACGAACCACUUUUCGUAGUUGAACCUCUACUUGCUUUAUGAAGAGUUUGAGCUUGGGACUUGCCUCUAAUUUUUGCUUCAAGAAAAAUACCCAUGUGAAGUGAGAGAAGUCGUCUAUGAUGACAAGUAUGUACUUGUUUCCACGAAUGCUUUCGAUAGAAGAAGGGCCACAUAGAUCAAUAUGUAACAGCUCUAAUGGGUCUAUUACCUCUGUGUUGAUAAUAGAAGGAUGACUUUGUUGACUUUGCUUUCCCGUUUCACAAGCUGCACAUAGAUGUUCAUUGUCAAAUUUGAGAACUGGAAGGCCUCGAAUUUGUUCUCCAAGUACCAGCUUGUUGAUAUCUUUGAAAUUGAGAUGAGAGAGCCUUUGAUGCCAUAACCAGCUUUCGUCUGAGUGUGCCUUCGUUAGCAAGCAAACUGCUGGUUUCCCUUUAAUUGGAUUGAGAUUUAAUGGGUACAUUUCUCGCUUUCGCUUCAACUUCAGUAGAAUAUUAUUUGAAUUCUUUUCCACUAUCUCUGAGCCUUCAUCAUCAAAGGAGACCUUCAAACUGGUGCCAACCACCAGCUGUGAGACACUGAUGAGGUUGUGUUGCAAUCCUUCAAUGUAUGCAACCUUUCUGAUGGAGAAGUCACCAUUUGUAAUCAUUCCAUAGCCUUUGAUAGUUACAAAAGAAUUAUUGUCAUACUUCACCGUUCCACCAUCCUUGAGAGACCGAAACUCCCUCAGUUCUUCCUUUCUUCCUUUCAUCUGACGCGAGCAGCAACUAUCAAUGUACCAUUCUUCGUCAAAUUGCUCGUCACGAAUAACCUGCAAAAUAUUAAGCAAAUUUAGGAACCUAAAGUUUCUUAGGUCCUUGUGAGCCUUUUACAGGACAGGAAAUAGUAAGAGAAACAUCAACCAGAUAAGUUCUUUUUAUUAGAGUUAUUUCAUCUUUUCUUUUUAUUGUAAAAACUUUGAUUUUGUUUGACUUAGGCUCACUUGAUUUAGACGUAGUAUUUCUGGUUUUGACGUCUGCAUACUUUUGGGUUUCUUUUGGGCGUCUAUCGUCUUCUGGAAAGAGCUUUCCUUUCCCUUUUGAAUAUUUAGAUGAAUGAGUAUCAGAAGAGGAAUGAGAUGAAUGAGAUUUAGAAGCAAGAUUAGAUCGUUGAUUAUUGCUCUUCCUUGGUUGAGUAUGAAGACUUUCUUCCCUUUGGUUCUUCUAAUAGUUGGAUCUGGUACCGAACCCAUCCUUUUGUUUGCUAUUAUGUUGAGGACCGAAACCUUCCUUUUGGUUGCUUAGAUGUUGAGGACCGAAACCUUCCUUUCGGUUGCUUGCAUGUUGAGGACCGAAACCUUCCUUUUGGUUGGCUCUUGGUUCUCCUCGUGACUUAUUUGUCUUUUCAUACCUAACGUAAAGAGGAUUCUGGGAUCGCCAAAACUGUUUUCUUUCUGAGAGAUUCUUCUUGUAUCUCAGGUUAUGUUGGUGUUUUCGUUCUGCCACUUGUUUUGGAUUUUUAUGAAUAUUGGCCUUUUUCUUCAGUACUUGAGCAUGAAUUUCGCUCUUUGACGAACAUGUCUCACUGGAUACUAUCACUGGUUCACCUGAAGAUGUUUUGGUGCCGCUUGUGCUUGGCACAUCAUAUCGUGUAGGUUCAUUAAGUGGUUCUGCCACAUACCUACCCUUCACUCUCCAUGAGGUUUUCUAAGAUAGACCUACUGUUUCAUCAUCAUUAUCUAUUGGUGCUAACCAGAAAAACUCCUCAUAUCCAUUACCAUUAUCUUCUUCUACCAAUGCUGUCAGUUCUGCUGUUUGUUGAGGUGUGACUCCUUGAACUAUGUAGACUUGAUUUGGAGUUGUUUGAACCUUCUGAUAUACAACAGCUUUUGCCUUGAGGACUUUGGUCUUGUCUAUCGAUGAGCGAUCGAACUCAACAGAGUUUUCAGAGAUAAUAUUUUUACUAGUUUCUGGUUCGCUCUUGACGAAUUCCGAACAGUCCACCACAUCCUCUAUAGAGAUUUCACUCAUUUCAUCAUCCUCAUUAACGCAUUUUCAACAUCAAUUUUGUCUUCUGAACUUAAUUUGGUAUUCAACGAUUCAAAUUUAUGUACAAUUUCGGUUCUUAGUUUCAAUUUAUCAUUUUCAUCUAGCAGAUUUUUGAGCAUGUCCUUAUGGUCUUUUGACUUUAUGUAGGACUCUAUUUUGUCAAGUCCAAUUUUGUAGGCAUGAGAUAUUUUGUCAAAAGAUACAACAUUUUCACAGUUGUAAGCUUUGGCAUCGACUUCAUCAUCCUUCAACUCAAGGAAGGGUAAAAUCAUGCGAUGUAUCUUCUUUCCUAUUUCACAAUCGAGAUGUAACUGAGUGAUACUAAAAUAUAAUCUUUUCGCAAUCAAACAAAAAACAUUUUGUCGUCUUAACAGUUGAAGAUUGUCUCGUUGCAAAUAGAUUGACUCAUCCCUAGACCUAAUUAAUUCUUUCACCUUCUACUCAAUCCAGAUUCUCCUAUCCUCAUUAUUCGAUGAUAUCCUGCUAAUUUGAUCAGUCAGGUUAGAGUUUGUGACACGAGUUUGGGUAGGACUACCACUUCAACUAAAAAAUUUAGAUUUUAAGCCAUUCAUUUCCUUUUCAUAGUUAUUAAUAGGAAUUUUCAGAGAAGUAAGAAUAUUUUGUACCUUCUUGAUCAACUCAUCACAUUCAUUGAUCUGUGCACUGACAGGUUUCGCAGCAAAACAUAUGUCCUCUCGCUCCUUCUCGUCAUCCAGCCCACCAUCUGUUGUGUAUCCUCGCAUCUGUGAUGCACCUUCAGUCACCAUCAAACAUCUUCCCUCAAACUUUUCCUCUUUAACCAGCAGAGCUUUUCCAUGAGUGGGCCUUCUUACUUCUUCGUCCUCUGAAUUUGUAGACCACACCUGGAGUCCACCAAAUUCAUCAUUAUCACCUGUAUCCUGUACAAGCAAAGCAUUCAUGGUGUUAUUGUUAGUUGCUGAUUUCUUUUUCUUGAUCUCCUCCAAUCGUCUCAGGAGAUUCGCUUCCUCAUCGUCUUCAUCAACUCUUUCAGGUUUCUUCUUUAGCAUGCAGUCUUUGGCAAUGUGGUUCUUGCCUCCACAAUAAUGACAGUCAUAACCUGAAUCACCACCAAUCUUUGUUUCCUUUUUAGAUUCUUCAGACUUUGAACCCAUCUUCGGUUCCUCCUUUACUUUUUCAGAACUAUAACUUCCCUGCUAGUUUCCGUUCUUGUUGGCGGGGAACUUUCUUUUGAUAAACUUUCUUGGAUUGGAAAUCAUCAGGGCAUACUCUUCACCAGUUAGAUCAUAGUCAGCAAGAUCUAAUUCUUCUUCUUCUUCAACAACACUCUUUGCUUUAUAUAUAAGACCUAAUGAACCCAAGUUGGAAACCACAUUCGUUUCCUUUGAUACCGCACUUUCAUGGGACUUCCGAAUUCCCACCAACUUCGCCAGAGAGUAGGAUUUGAAUUGUUCGUGUGCCUUCACUGUGGACACAACUACCAUCCAUUCGGGUAACCUUCUGUUCAAUAACCUUCCUUUCGAUCCCAUGCUUUAUCAUCUUACUAAGGAGAUGAUUAAAUCGAUCAAAGGCCUGAAUGAGUUUCUCUUCAGGCUUCUAUUUGCAAUCACCAACUUCAGAAAGCAGCAAAGUUUGAAUCAAAUGUUCCAGAUCCUCAUCAGUAGAAGACAAUUCCUUUAACCUAUCCCAUAUCUCUUUUUCUGUAGCACAUGAACUCACCAAUCGAAACGUGUUUGAUUGUAAAGCAAACCUAAUCAUUCUUAAGGCUUUAAUGUUGCACUGAAACUUCUCUUUCUCGUCUUGAGGAAUGUCUUUCACAUCAUUCACGAGCUGAUUGUACUCCUUUUGAUUUUUGACAAUCUUUGAAGUGCUUGAGUGAGCAAACGGACCUACCGUGAUUGCUUCCCAGAUCAAAUACCCAUUAUCCUCUGAACCGAUUACAUAAUCUUCGAAGUGGUAUAUCCAGACUUUAUAAUCCUGAGUGUAUAGGAUUGGAAUCCUUGUUGCUGAUCCAAUAUUGUUGGAGAUGUUGAUUGAAUUGGAUUGCGAAUCGUCCAUAGACAUUGUGAUGAUUUUUGAUCGAUAACCUGUUUAAGAUUAGAGUUGUAAUUUAUCGUUUGGGAAAGAUAAAUAAUUAAUGAGAUACGCCAAUUGGGAAUGACGGCUCAAUUAAUAUCAAUCAAUGCAGAAAAACCUAAUAACUUCUUCAACAUAAGAGAUGUGUAUGAAUUACACAGCCUCCUGCUCUGAUGCCAAUUGAUGAGAAUAAAUCUCUUGAUCGUUUAGAUCUUUCACAUGUAUAUUAAAGAAGAACAAACUAUUAAAUCAAACAAGACAAAGAACACAAUAUAGAAUCCAUAUAAAGCUUAUGAUUCAAACGUAGUCAUGCCUCAGCAGAGCUCGACAAAGAACUUCCAUUGUAGAGGCAAGCUAGGGUUUACAAUACUUUGAUAAGAAAAAUAAAAGUGUUACCUACUAAGGUUGCAUGCAUGCACCUUAAAUACCAAAACCCUAGAAUAAAAUAAUGCACGGUUAGAUAGGCCCAAACCGGCAACAAAACUGGGCUAAAAGGAACGAGCCCAAGAUGCAACAUCAAUAUCCCAACACAAAGAUCUAGUAACUAGAGACUAAAAUCAGACCCUUACAAGUUCCCUCUAAAACUAGAGAUUUGCAAUACUAUGAGAGAGAGAGAGAGAGAGAGAGAGAGAUUUUGGAACUUUCCUUUACAAUGUGGGACUUAUCCCACAUUGGUGGAAGAGAAAACCUUCUCCCACCUUAUAUGUCUUGUCCCCACUCAUUUAAUUAAAUGGGUCAAGUAAUGGGUUAAGCAUAUUGGGCUUGGGUUGUGGUGUUGGAUUUGCCUAAUUGGACUAAAAAUAGGCUAAUAUUAAGAGAAUAUUUAAUGGUCAAAAGAUGGGCCUUGGGCCUCUUGGCGCCUUCCUGAUUAAUUAACUAAUUUAUAAUUACGAAAUUAAUUUUUAUUCUUUAUUUUUAUUAAAUUCCUAAUUACUGAUGACAUGUUUUGACAAUUAUUUUCGGUUUUGAUAGUUUCCAAUUGUCAUAACUAAUGCCUAUAAAUACCUGUUUUCAUUCAUCUGUGAGGGGUUACAAAAAUCAUUUUUUAGAACACAAAAUUCUCUUUCAAAUUCGUUCUUCCUGAAGAUGAAGGGAACAUAGAAAUUUCAUCAGAUUCAAGAUCAUUUCUUGGUUUGAUUGUUAUAUCCUCUUGACAGAUCCCUACCAGGAAAAUUUUUGUCUUAGGACAUUGCGUAGCAGGCCUCAGUCAGUACAAUUUCGUGAUUAUAUUUCCUGUAUUAUCAUCAUACAAGUAUGUUUUCUGUAAAUUGAUUCUUGUAUUUUAUAUACAUUUGAAUUUCGUUUGUUUUAUUUCAAUAAGUUUUGUUGAUUGUAUACUUCUGUCAUAACAUUCUAAGACAGAAAUCAAAAAGUGGAAGAAUGGAACAACAAUACAUCAUCAAAACACAUGUGGAAAAUCCUGAGAAAUUCAAAGGCUCAGAUUUUCGGAUAUGGCAACAGAAGAUGUUGUUUUAUUUGACAACUCUUCAUGUUUCCAAUGUUCUCACUGAUGAUUCUCCCUCUCCUCCCACUAGUGUAACCACUACAGAAGGAGUAACACCACCCACUGCAGCCCAAUUGGAAGAACACCAAAGCGCUAUGGAAACUUGGAACACAAAUGAAUAUAAAUGCAAAAAUUAUAUUCUAAAUGCCUUAGAUGAUUCCCUCUAUGAUAUCUACUCUAGCAUUCCUACUGAAAAAGAGAUAUGGGAAUCACUAGAAAAGAAAUACAAAAUAGAAGUGGCAUGUUCCAAGAAAUUCGUGAUUGGAAAGUUCAUAAUUUCAAGAUGGUGGAUACCUAAUCUGACCUCAAACAAGUGGAGGAAAUUCAAGUCAUUGCACACGAUCUUGAAGUUGAAGGUAUGGGUAUAAACUCUAACUUUCUUGUUGGUUCAAUCAUUGAAAAACUUCCUCCUUCUUGAAAGAAUUUCAAAUUAUAUCUUAAGCACUUAACUAAUGACAUGAGUUUUAAGCAACUUGUAUUGAGAAUUCGUGUGGAAGAAGAUAACAGAUUGAAUGAGAAGGCAGAUGCAAAUUCCUUGGAACCAAGUGCAAACUUUGUUGGAGAAGCAAGUACUUCAAGGACAAAGAACAACAACAAGUAAGGGAAGCAAGGCUCCAAAAACUCUUCUAAAGAUGACAAAAAUCAUGGCCCUAACAAGAAGAAUUCUGGUCCAUGCUAUGUUUGUGGCAAAAUUGGACACAAGGCCAAAGAUUGCAGAUUCAGGAGGGGUCAAUGAGGAAACAAUCGAGGGAACAAUGGAAACAAUGGUGGUAAUUCUAGUGGAGGAAAUUCUGGUCAAACCAACAUGGUUGAAUCACCAAAUCAGUUUGUUGUUGUGAUUCAAACCAACAUGGUUAGCAAUUCUGUUGAUUGGUGGAUUGAUAUUGGAGCCACAAGGCACAUUUGCAAGUCCCGAACCAUGUUUUAUACAUACCAGAAAGUCUCGGAUUCUGAACCAAUGUUCAUGGGGAAUGACUCUACUGCAAAAGUUGAAGGAAAAGGAAAAGUGAAGCUACAACUGACUUCUGAAAAAGAACUUGUUUUAUGUGAUGUAUUGCAUGUUCCUGAAAUUACUAAGAAUUUGAUUUCUGGUCCUAUUCUUAGUAACAAGGGAUUCAAACUUAUAUUUGAGUCAGAUAAGUUUGGUCUCACAAAGGGUGGGGUGUAUGUUGGAAAGGGAUACCUUAGUGAGGGUCUCUUCAAAGUCAGUGUCUUACCUUUGUACUAUGGUGUUGAAACACCAAACAAUGAUGUAACCAAUGUUAAUGCUAAUGCAAUAAUGGGCACUACUAGCCCCUCUUCUAUGUAUAUGCAUGAUCCUUCAUUUCUGUGGCAUUCUCGAUUUGGACAUGUCAAUUUUGGCUAUAUUUAAAGAAUGACAAAACUUGGCAUGUUACCAAAAUGUGCAUUAGAUAAAAACAUAAAAUGUGAGGUUGGUGUAGAAUCAAAAUUUUCACAGCAUCCUCAUAAAUCAGUUGAAAAAUCUAAUGAAAUAUUUUGCUUAAUCCACUCUAAUUUAUAUGAUUUUAGAGCAUCACCUAGAAGAGGAGGAAAAAAUGAUUAUAUUUCAUUUAUUGAUGAUUCCAGCAAGUAUUGUUAUACUUAUUUGUUAAAUACCAAGGAUGAAUCCUUGAAUUCUUUUAAGAAUUACAAGGCUAAAGUUGAAAAUCAACUUGACAAAAAGAUCAAAAUUCUAAGGUAUGAUCGAGGAGGAGAAUACGAAUCCAAAGACUUUGCUGAAUUUUGUUCUUUAAAUGGUAUUAUACAUCAAACAACUGGUCCAUAUACUCCACAACAAAAUGGAGUUGCAGAAAGGAAGAAUAGAACAUUGAAAAACAUGAUAAACUCAAUGUUAAUUACUUCUGGAGCACCCCAUAAUUUGUAGGGAGAAGCAUGUCUUGUAGCAAAUUCAAUACUUAAUAGAAUUCCUCAUAAAAAGAGUGAUAAAUCGCCCUAUCAUUUGUGGAAAGGGAGGUUACUCUCUUAUAAAAGGAUGAAAGUGUGGGGUUACCUAGCUAACGUACAAGUUCCUCUUCCUAAGAGGACUAAACUUGGACCAAAAACCAUAGAUUGCAUCUAUCUUGGAUGUGCCAUGAAUAGUGCAGCCUAUAGGUUUCUUGUGUAUAAAUCACAUGUUGAUGAUAUCCAUAACCAAACCAUCAUGGAAUUAGCAGAGGCUGAGUUCUUUGAAAAUAUUUUCCCUUUUAAGGAUAAAGCGAAAGAGGUUACCUGCUCUUGGAAAAGACCUCUAGAUGAUGGACUAAAUGAUACCAUUCCAGACAAAAGUUUACAAUUAAAUGAAGAUAAUUCUUCUAAGGUUCAAGUAGAGAACUUAGAACCCAGAAGAAGCAAACGGGGCAAAAUAACCAAAGAUUUUUGACCUGAUUAUAUGACCUAUGUAGUGAAUAAGCAACCACAAACCUACAAGGAUGCUAUGGAUUUGUCUGAAGCUCCCUUUUGGAAAGAGGCAAUCAAAAGUGAGAUUGAUUCCAUUGUGCAGAAUAACACUUGUAAAUUACUAGAUUUGCCACCUGGGCAAAAACACAUUGGGCACAAAUGGAUAUUCAAGAAGAAGUUUAGACCUGAUGGUACCAUUGGGAAGUACAAGGCUCGUUUAGUAGCUAAAGGUUAUCGUCAAAAAGAGGGUCAAGACUUCUUUGACGCCUAUUCACCUAUUACAAGAAUUACACAUCAAUUCGCACAUUAGUAGCAAUUGCAUCCAUUCACAAUUUGGAAAUGCACCAAAUGGAUGUUAAUACUGCCUUCUUGUAUGUUGAACUAGAUGAAUAGAUAUAUAUGAACCAACCUAAAGGGUUUAUGGUCAAGGGUCAAGAAAACAAAGUUUGUAAGUUAGUUAGAUCACUUUAUGGACUAAAACAGGCUCCAAAUCAAUGUCGUGAGAAGUUUAACAAUACAUUACUCUCUAAUGGAUUUAGAAUUAAUGAAUGUGAUAAAUGUGUUUAUGUCAACCAAUACAAGAAUGCUUUUGUCAUCAUAUGCUUGUAUGUGGAUGAUAUGCUUAUAAUGGGUACUAAUUUGGAUGUGAUCAAUCAAACCAAGAAAAUGCUACACUCCUCCUUUUCCAUGAAGGACUUGGGAGUAGUAGAUGUGAUCCUUGGUGUAAGAGUUCAAAGAAGAUCAGAUGGUUAUACUCUUACUCAAUCCCAUUAUAUUGAAAGUGUUCUCAAGAAGUUUGGACACUAUGAUGACAAGCCAGUUGUCAUCCCAUUUNAGUCAUCUUAAGAAGAAUAAAGGCGAUAGUGUAGCUCAGCUAGAAUAUACUCAAGUUCUUGGUAGCUUAAUGUAUAUUAUGAAUUGUACAAGACAAGACUUAGCAUAUAGUGUAAGUAGAUUGAGUCGCUACUCCCACAAUCCUAGGAAAGAUCGUUGGUAUGCAUUAUUAAGAGUGAUUAGAUAUUUAAAGCAUACAAUGAAUUAUGGAUUGCAUUACACGAGGUAUCCUCCUAUACUAGAAGGAUAUUGUGAUGCAAACUGGAUUUCUAAUACUUCUGAGGCAAAAUCCACAAGUGGAUAUGUGUUCACACUUGGUGGAGCUGCUAUCUCUUGGAAAUCAUCAAAGAAAACUAUGAAUACUCGUUCUACAAUGGAAGUAGAGUUUGUUGCUUUAGACAAAGCUGCUGAAGAAGUUGAAUGGCUUAAAAGCUUCCUAGAAGGUAUUCCUCGGUGGCCUCAACAUGUUACUGCCAUUGGCAUACAUUGUGAUAGUAUGGCUACUCUUUCUAGAGCACAAAGUCAUAUAUAUAAUGGCAAGUCGAGACACAAUAGGCGCAUACAUAUUACCAUAAGAGACUUGCUGAAGAAUGGAAUCAUUUUCAUUAGUUACAUAAAGUCAAAGGAAAAUAUAGUUGAUCCCUUGGCAAUAGGCCUUAUUAGAGAGCAAGUUCUCUUCACAUCGAGGGGAAUGGGCUUAAAGCCAACACAAUGAGUGACCACCUGGCGGAAACCUAACUUAGCAACAUUGGAGAUCCCAUGGUCUAUGUUUAAAAGGAUAACUAGUUGGGGAAAACUCAAAGAAGAACUAACACAAAGGUAUGCUCACUCCUAUGAUAUUUAAUUUGUGUUUUUCCGUUGAUGAUAUAGGGAUGAAUUCUUUAUUCUUAAUAAUGUUGAUAGCUUUUAUAGUGGAAUAAGUAUGGAUUGUUCCAGAUUAGCAUUACCUAUGUGAGAUGGAUGUGAGGUCGCAUCUUUGGGAGCUGAUAUGGCUAAGCUCUCUAAAAGUCUCAUGAAGAAAGGAUCGUUCACGACCGAAAUGAACACAAUGGUAUGAAAUGAUCUAUGCUUAGAUAUGAUAUGUGUGAUACUUCUUGUUUUAUUCUACUAUAAAAAGUGGUUAGUUCAAGACUCUAGUUCACUACCCACAAAGUAGAUCCCAGUAGUAGUCACUAUGAAAGGUUCAAGUUUUACAACACCUAUUCAGAUGCAUGUCAUAUCUAACUUCCCUUAUUUGAAUAUCAAAGUUCACUUAUUUUCUUUUCAAAUGUGGGGUAUUCUUGUAGUUUGAAUAGAAAAUGUGGGGUAUUGUUGGAACUUUGCUUUACGAUGUGGGACUUAUCCCACAUUGUUGGAAGAGAAAACCUUCUCCCACCUUAUAUGUCUUGUCCCACUCAUUUAAUUAAAUGGGUCAAGUAAUGGGUUAAGCAUAUUAGGCUUGGGUUGUGGUGUUGGAUUUGCCUAAUUGGACUCAAAAUAGGCUAAUAUGAAGAGAAUAUUUAAUGGUCAAAAGAUGGGCCUUGGGCCUUGGGGCUCUUGGGGUAUUCCAUAUUAAUUAAAUAAUUUUUAAUUACGAAAUUAAUUUUUAUUCUUUAUUUUUAUUAAAUUCGUAAUUACUGAAGGGUAGGUUUUGACAGUUAAUUUCAGUUUUGACAGUUUCCAACUGUCAUAACUAAUACCUAUAAAUACCUGUUUUCAUUCAUCUGUGAGGGGUUACAGAAAUCAUUUUUACACCAUAAAAUUCUCUUUCAAAUUCGUUCUUUCUGACGAUGAAGGGAACAUAGAAAUUUCGUCAGAUUCAAGAUCACAUCUUUGAUUGAUUGUUGUAUCCUCUUGACAGAUCCCUACCAGAGAAAUUUAUGUCUUAGGACAUUGCAUAGCAGGCCUCAAUCUGUAUAAUUUCGUAAUUAUAUUUCCUGUAUUAUCAUCAUACAAGUAUGUUUUCUAUAAAUUGAUUCUUGGAUUUUAUAUACAUUUGAAUUUUGUUUGUUUUAUUUCAAUUAGUUUUGUUGAUUGUAUACUUCUGUCAUAACAGUCUAAGACAUAAAUCAAAAAGUGGAAGAAUGGAUCAACAAUCCAUCAUCAAAACACAUGUGGAAAAUCCUGAGAAAUUCAAAGGCUCAGAUUUUUGGAGAUGGCAACAGAAGAUGUUGUUUUAUUUAAAAACUCUUCAUGUUUCCAAUGUUCUCACUGAUGAUUCUCCCUCUCCUCCCACUGGUGUAACCACUACAGAUGGAGUAACACCACCCACUGCAUCCCAAUUGGAAGAACACCAAAGGGCUAUGGAAACUUGGAACACAAAUGAAUAUAAAUGCAGAAAUUAUAUUCUGAAUGCCUUAGAUGAUUCCCUCUAUGAUAUCUACUCUCCCAUUCCUACUGCAAGAGAGAUAUGGGAAUCACUAGAAAAAAAAUACAAAACAGAAGUGGCAUGUUCCAAGAAAUUCGUGAUUGGAAAGUUCAUAAUUUCAAGAUGGUGGAUACCUAAUCUGACCUCAAAUAAGUGGAGGAAAUUCAAGUCAUUGCACACGAUCUUGAAGUUGAAGGUAUGGGUAUAAACUCUAACGUUCUUGUUGGUUCAAUCAUUGAAAAACUUCCUCCUUCUUGAAAGAAUUUCAAAUUAUAUCUUAAGCACUUAACUGAUGAAAUGAGUUUUAAGCAACUUGUAUUGAGAAUUCGUGUGGAAGAAGAUAACAGAUUGAAUGAGAAGGCAGAUGCAAAUUCCUUGGAACCAAGUGCAAACUUUGUUGGAGAAGCAAGUACUUCAAGGACAAAGAACAACAACAAGAAAGGGAAGCAAGGCUCCAAAAACUCUUCUAAAGAUGACAAAAAUCAUGGCCCUAACAAGAAGAAUUCUGGUCCAUGCUAUGUUUGUGGCAAAAUUGGACACAAGGCCAAAGAUUGCAGAUUCAGGAGGGGUCAAGGAGGAAACAAUCGAGGGAACAGUGGAAAGAAUGGUGGUAAUUCUGGUGGAGGAAAUUCUGGUCAAAUCAACAUGGUUGAAUCACCAAAUCAAUUUGUUGUUGUGAUUCAAACCAACAUGGUUAGCAAUUCUGUUGAUUGGUGGAUUGAUAUUGGAGCCACAAGGCACAUUUGCAACUCCCGAACCAUGUUUUCUACAUACCAGAAAGUCUCGGAUUCUGAACCAAUGUUUAUGGGGAAUGGCUCUACUGCAAAAGUUGAAGGAAAGGGAAAAGUGAAACUACAAUUGACUUCUGAAAAAGAACUUGUUUUAUGUGAUGUCUUGCAUGUUCCUGAAAUUACUAAGAAUUUGAUUUCUGGUCCUAUUCUUAGUAACAAAGGUUUCAAACUUGUAUUUGAAUCUGAUAAAUUUGUUCUCACCAAGGGUGGGAUGUAUGUUGGAAAGGGAUACCUUAGUGAGGGUCUCUUCAAAGUCAGUGUAUUACCUUUGUACUAUGGUGUUGAAACACCAAACAAUGAUGUAACCAAUAUUAAUGCUAAUGCAAUAAUGGGCACUACUAGCCCCUCUUCUAUGUAUAUGCAUGAUCCUUCAAUUUUGUGGCAUUCUCGUUUGGGACAUGUUAAUUUUCGUUCUAUUCAAAGAAUGGCAAAACUUAGCAUGUUACCAAAAUGUUCGUUAGAUAAAAAUAUAAAAUGUGAGGUUUGUGUAGAAUCAAAAUUUACACAACAUCCUCAUAAAUCGGUUGAAAAAUCUAAUGAAAUACUUGGCUUAAUCCACUCUGAUUUAUGUGAUUUUAGAGCAACACCUACAAGAGGAGGAAAGAAUUAUUAUAUAUCCUUUAUUGAUGAUUGCAGUAAGUAUUGUUAUAUUUAUUUGUUAAAUACCAAAGAUGAAGCCUUGAAUUAUUUUAAGAAUUACAAGGCUGAAGUUGAAAAUCAACUUGACAAAAAGAUCAAAAUUCUAAGGUCUGAUCGAGGAGGAGAAUAUGAAUCCAAAGACUUUGCUGAAUUUUGUUCUUUAAACGGUAUUAUACAUCAAACAACUGCUCCAUAUACUCCUCAACAAAAUGGAGUGGCAGAAAGAAAGAAUAGAACAUUGAAAAACAUGAUUAAUUCAAUGUUAAUUACUUCUGGAGCACCACAUAAUCUGUGGGGAGAAGCAUGUCUUGNUAACAAGAUAGAAUACAUACCUCUUUGAUGUAGAAAGUCUUCAUGAAGCUUGAGUGCCUAGUGCCCCAAGUGUGACACCUCAAAUGGUUCACAUAACAUCAAUUGCUUUUGGAAUAACCUUGAGAGAAAUGUAGAACACUUAAAAUCGACUAGCCCUUCUCUAUCUUACAUAGUGGCCGAUUUUUCAAAGAGUAUGAUCUUUAUAUAGUUGUUACAAUUUGGGUAAACCCUAAUUGUCAUGGGUUUCCAUUUCCUUGGAUCCAUGGGUUCAAAUACACCAUGGAGCAUCCAUGGAGCAUCAUAUGGGUUUUAGCCCAACUUGAUAAUCCAUGGAGCAUUAGCCCACUAUACAAGUAUGGAUGAUUUACACAAUCAACCCAUAUAUUUAAUUAGUCUUCUUUUGAUCACUUAAUUAAUCCUAGAUUAAUUCUUGAUCAAUACUAAUUAAAUAAUCUUAUUAUUCUUAUUAUUAAUAUACUAGAACUUAUAAUAUAUUAAUAACCAUAAGUGUCUUAUUUCUCUCAUUAUAGUCUAUCCAAGUGCAUGAUGGUAUGCAACCCAAAUGGACCAUGCCGGGUCGGGUCAAGUCUUACCAAUUAUAGUUAUGGACUUAGACAUUAAUCCAACAGUCUCCCACUUGGAUAAGUCUAAAACUAUUAUUGCGUAUGACUUCAGGAACCAACUGGCAAUCGUAGCUCUCAAAAGCUUCUGUCGAACUCUGACCUUGUAGAUGAACUCUGACCUUUGUCAGUGACUUGUCCAUUAGAUAAGGGAUCAUAUAUUCCUCCAUUCUAGAUAUCAUAUGGACUGAGACAUGGAUUAUAAUCAUUCUCUCUGUCCAUUUGUUGUUUCCCGAUUUCCGAUUUAUGACGACUGACUAAUUGAACAAAUCAAAUCAGUCCUGGCCCGGCCGAGCACUUCCAUUUGUCAUCAUCAAAUCAUCGAGGGGCCCACAGAUAUCGCUUUUAUCCCGAAGGUAAAAGGAAUGGAUAAACUUCGACUCAUAUGGCUUGUUCUACUACUUGUUGAAUCAUACACAAACACACAUUUUAUAACAUCGAGUUACCAAUGCGGUUUCGUGCAAUCAAUGUAUAACCAACUCAUAGUAACAACUCAUAUCUCUAGGUUUGAAGAAUAUAAGACAUUAUCGUCUCAUGAUCACUCGUGAUAAAAUCCAUGAAGUGAUUCCAAUGAGCGCGGGUUGAAUCCAAUACUCAGAACUUAUGAGCACUCAUGAGUGUUGUAGC